GACAGAGGUGCCAAGCGUUAGGCGGAAUCACUGGGCUUAAAGCGUGUGUAGGCGGCUUGGUAUGUCGGGUGUGAAAUCCCCGGGCUCAACCUGGGAACUGCAUCCGAAACUGCCUUGCUUGAGUAUGGGAGAGGGAAGUGGAAUUUCCGGUGUAGCGGUGAAAUGCGUAGAUAUCGGAAGGAACAUCAGUGGCGAAGGCGACUUCCUGGACCAAUACUGACGCUCAGGUGCGAAAGCGUGGGGAGCAAACAGG
rnacentral:rRNA from 1 species